rnacentral:lncRNA from 1 species
AGUAUUAUUUGAAUCUUUGACCAACCCUUCAACAAAUAGUACCUUUCAAACAAUGGAUAAUAAUAAAGAUGGCAUCUCAUGAAAAGAUCAGGAAUAAGAGAAUGACAACAAAUCAAGACAAAGAAUAGUUGUCUCAGUUAAAAGAAAAAGUAACACAAAUAACCCAAGUCUAGGGCCUGCAUUCCAGAACUACCACUACACACAUAGGAGCAGCACUGGCCAUGUUCCUGCCUACUGGUGUAAUUUGCAUUGUUUUUCCAAUUUUCCCUUCUGGUGUUUCUGAUGUCAAUUUGGGCUUUUAGGUGACAAGUUUGGACAAGGUGACCUAGCUUUCCACAGAGGAAGCAUCGGGUUGAUUGGGUCUUUGUUGUCUUUGUACAAAUUUUCUUUUUGGUCUGUAUGAUUGUAAUGUCGCUAAAUUCUUUACCUCAUCUAUUUCUUUUUGUUGUGCUGUGAUCUUAGCUCCUGUAACAGCUCAUCUCUUUGUUCAGUUUUAUGUUCCUUUUCUCCAGUAAAUAUGUAGGUUGCUGUUUUUCUUAAAUCUUCCCAUCCCAGAGACUCCCAAUCUGGGCAAUGACGCCUAAAAUAAGUAUUCACUGGCACACAACUACCCUUAACAAAUUGUCUGCUUAUAUGUUGUUAAAUUAGCCUCAUACAAAUCUGCAAACUCCAGAAGAUUCUCUCCCAUUUCUACUACUUGGUCUAAGAAUGUGGAUGGAUGUUCCCCUGUUUCCUGUUUAAGCUUUUCAAAUCUGCCACAUGUCAGGUCCCUUUGUGAAAUUUUUCAUUGCUUCAAUUAAACCUUGUCUAGACUGAUCAAGAAAUCUUGGAUUUGGGACAUUACAAAGUUCUAGAUUCUGUUCAUACUCAGGCCCUGAAAUCAAAUUUGGAUUGUUUCUAGUCUUGGCAAUGAAUUAUUCUUUUUCCCUUUUGAUAAAGAGCUCAGAUAGAACAAGCUCUCCCGCGAGGUAGGAUCAAAUAAUUUGAUUGCCCGGCAGAACUCCUUUAUACACUUCAUUGGUUCGUCGAAGAAUCUGGGCAUUCUCUUGCGAAGAUGGUCCAGAUCUGCAGGUGUAAAUGAACUUUGAAACUCACCAGUCCUUUUUAUUUUUUUUGCUUAGGGCCCAAUUGUUGCUAUUUCUUCUUUGGUGUCAAGAUCAUCACUUUUAAGUCAGUGUCUGUUGCCUGAGUCUUUCCCCAACAAAACAGUUUAACACCUCUUUGCCUGCAUAAUAGAGUUGCAGCACUGAGAAAAACUCCUGCCAGCACAGGAAGGUAGACUA